GAUGAACGCUGGCGGCGUGCCUUAUACAUGCAAGUCGAGCGAACAGAUGAGGAGCUUGCUCCUCUGACGUUAGCGGCGGACGGGUGAGUAACACGUGGAUAACCUACCUAUAAGACUGGGAUAACUUCGGGAAACCGGAGCUAAUACCGGAUAAUAUAUUGAACCGCAUGGUUCAAUAGUGAAAGACGGUUUUGCUGUCACUUAUAGAUGGAUCCGCGCCGCAUUAGCUAGUUGGUAAGGUAACGGCUUACCAAGGCAACGAUGCGUAGCCGACCUGAGAGGAUGAUCGGCCACACUGGAACUGAGACACGGUCCAGACUCCUACGGGAGGCAGCAGUAGGGAAUCUUCCGCAAUGGGCGAAAGCCUGACGGAGCAACGCCGCGUGAGUGAUGAAGGUCUUCGGAUCGUAAAACUCUGUUAUUAGGGAAGAACAAAUGUGUAAGUAACUAUGCACGUCUUGACGGUACCUAAUCAGAAAGCCACGGCUAACUACGUG
rnacentral:rRNA from 1 species